rnacentral:rRNA from 1 species
CCUACGCGCGGCAGCAGUGAGGAAUAUUGGUCAAUGGGCGCGAGCCUGAACCAGCCAAGUAGCGUGAAGGAUGACUGCCCUACGGGUUGUAAACUUCUUUUAUAAAGGAAUAAAGUGAGGCACGUGUGCCUUUUUGUAUGUACUUUAUGAAUAAGGAUCGGCUAAAUCCGUGCCAGCAGCCGCGGUAAUACGGAGGAUCCGAGCGUUAUCCGGAUUUAUUGGGUUUAAAGUGAGCGUAGAUGGGUUGUUAAGUCAGUUGUGAAAGUUUGCGGCUCAACCGUAAAAUUGCAAGUGAUACUGGCAGUCUUGAGUACAGUUGAGGUAGGCGGAAUGCGUGGUGUAGCGGUGAAAGGCUUAGAUAUCACGAAGAACUCCGAUUGCGAAGGAAGCUUACGAAACUGCCACUGACAUUGAUGCUCGAAAGUGUGGGUAUCAAACAGGAUUAGAUACCCUUGUAGUC